AUGUGUCACCGUGAAUGGAUGUUGCAAGGUGGAUGGUGGGGUCUGUCUAGCAGAGUAGCUCCGUUUGUGUUGGAGGGCAGAGGGUUUCAGGAUCUCACCAUGAACAGCCUGCUGGAAGCUGAAGCGGUGAUGUCAGAAGGUGUUCAAAUAGGGGCUUCUCGCAGAUCUGUGACGAUUGUUCUUCUUUAG